rnacentral:lncRNA from 1 species
UCAUCACUUGUUGACUGCCCAGAACAGGAUGAAACAGCGUUAUGAUCUCCAUCACCGUGAGGUCUCUUAUGCUGUGGGUGAUUGGGUGUGGUUAAAGCUCCAAAGUCAUCGUCAACUCUCGGUUCGCCCGGAUCACUAUCACAAGUUGGCGCCCAGAUUUUUUGGACCUUACCAGGUGGUCAGUCAAGUGGGCAACGUGGCAUAUCGUCUCGCCUUACCAGCAACAGCUAAAAUACAUGAUGUAUUUCACGUCUCCAUGCUGAAACCUUUCAAAGGGCCUCCUCCAUCCACCACACCAGACCUUCCUGAAGAUGUAUCCUACCCCUCUCCAGAAUCUGCACAACCAACUCCUCACAAGAUACUGGCUCAACGCUUUGUUCACGGGCACCGGCAGUUCUUGAUUCAGUGGACCAGACAAGAUCUUGAAGAAGCUACUUGGGAGGAUGCUCUGGACUUCCGUCGGGCGCACCCAGAUUUCAAGCUUGAGGACAAGCUUGCUGUCGAGGGGGGGGGGAGUAUUGAUAUGGCCCAGCCGCAUAGAGUUUAUUUUAGGAAACACUGAGUUGAUUGGCUGUGAUUAUUUGGUAGCAAAUAGUCCCUUUUUGUAAUGGUAGCAUUAGUUACCUUAUUGAGCAUUACACGGCUCUAUAGUUUCUAUGUUUAGGAAAGAGAUUGUGGGGAAAUAAAAGGGAGAAAGGCAGAAGAGAAAAGGGACAUUCUUGUUCCACAAAUUCCAGUCUCAGGCGUCGCCGACGAUAAACGGCCGGUGGUUCCGUCAACCGCUACCAUAGGUCGCCGGCGAGCUAUCCCGGUGCCGCCCCAGCCUACUCGAUCUGGGCUGCGGCCUGGAACUCGUUCCUAUCAACGGGAACACCCAUAUCAACUGGUAUCGGAUUCAGGCGGUUCUGGUGCAUCCCUUCCCAUGGCUUCCGCUGAGGAUCGCGUGGGGCAUCUGGAGGCAUCGGUCGCGCAACUGGCGGUUGCUGUGCAGGACAUCCAGUCCAACAUAGCAGAGCUCGCCAAGGUUGUCGCCGACUCAGUGCAGCUGACGGGUGGCGAGGCGUCGGGGGUGGACGGCCGGCACCGUCCUCAACAGCAGGGACGCCGGGACGGACGAGACGCCGACGCGAUGGGCGGUGAGCGUGGCGGUCGUCGCGGGUUUCCACACGCGCCCCGUUACGACUUGCCGCUGUUCGAUGGGUCGGAGGACCCAUUGCUGUGGCUGCGUCAGUGCGAGCGGUAUGGGCGGUUGCAUGACAUUCCAAGGGAGGAGUGGGUGCAGAUGGCUGGCAUGCAUCUGCGCGGCGAGGCUCAGGAGGUUUUGGACAAUUGGGAAACUGAGGAUCAAUUCAUUUCUUGGCCGGAGUUCUAUGACACCUUCUUGCAGCGCUUCACACGGCAUUCAACCUCGGGACCGCUGGGAGAUCUAGCCAAUUUGAAACAGCACAACAGCCGAGCAGACGUAUAUGCAAGGGAGUUUCAGCGACUUCUUGCCCGCACACCAAGGUUGUCUCGGCAGGAUCAGAUCGAGCUCUUUACCGCGGGGUUAUCAUCCACCCUCGCGGCCGAGGUCCGUCGGGAUCGCCCCCGGGACUUGGCUGACACCAUGGGUUUGGCUCGUGAAGCAGAACGGCGGGAAGAUCUCUUUCUUGCCAAGGUGGCCCAGGCCACGUGGUCACGCGGGUCUCGUAGCACAUCUUGGGCAUCGGGCACCGAUCCAUCGGCAAGUAAUCGGGCGACGGCGCCGUCAUCCAGUGCCCUCCCGGUGGCGCCUGGGGGAUCCAAGCUGGAAGGGGGUCGAGCGUUGACGACGACUUCACAGACUUCAGGGACUGUUCCCACUGCUCCACCAUAUCGUCGUCGUCUCAGUCCUGCAGAAAUGUCUGACCGAAGGGAGAAGGGUCUCUGUUAUAACUGUGAUGAGGUUUACUCGCGUGGACAUCGUUGUCAGCGCUUGUUCCAUUUGGAAGUGCUCAGCGAGGGUGAAGAGGAUGAUUCACUGGAGGAGGAACCAACCCUAUCUGCUAUAGCCAUGAAGGGUCUGAAGGCCAGUCGCACUAUGCAGGUCAUUGUAGUCAUGGGUGGACAACGUCUGGUGGGCUUAGUGGAUAGUGGUAGCACCCAUAACUUUAUUAGUAGCCAUGCUGCUUCUGUGGUGCAGAUCACACAAUCGUCAGGGACUGGACAGCAGGUGCAGGUAGCCAAUGGCGCUCGGUUGCCAUGUCUUGGGCAGUUGAUAGCCAGCUGGUGGAUCGUGAUGCCUUAUUGGAUAGAGCUCGUCAUCACUUGUUGACUGCCCAGAACAGGAUGAAACAACGUUAUGAUCUCCAUCACCGUGAGGUCUCUUAUGCUGUGGGUGAUUGGGUGUGGUUAAAGCUCCAAAGUCAUCGUCAACUCUCGGUUCGCCCGGAUCACUAUCACAAGUUGGCGCCCAGAUUUUUUGGACCUUACCAGGUGGUCAGUCAAGUGGGCAACGUGGCAUAUCGUCUCGCCUUACCAGCAACAGCUAAAAUACAUGAUGUAUUUCACGUCUCCAUGCUGAAACCUUUCAAAGGGCCUCCUCCAUCCACCACACCAGACCUUCCUGAAGAUGUAUCCUACCCCUCUCCAGAAUCUGCACAACCAACUCCUCACAAGAUACUGGCUCAACGCUUUGUUCACGGGCACCGGCAGUUCUUG